GACCGCUCCGGUGGCCUAGUGGUUAGAGCGUCCGACUCGGAUGCGUGAGGUCGUAAGUUCGAUCCCCGGUCGAGUCA